rnacentral:rRNA from 1 species
GUCGGCCCUGCCCGGUGACCUAGAUGGUUAAACGGUCGCAGGUAGCACUGUGCAAAGGUAGCGCAAUAAAUCGUCCUUUAAUUGGGGAAAGGUAUGAAUGGGUUGACGAGGUAGUAACUGUCUCUGGGAUAAUACUUGAAAUUUUCUUUUAAGUGAAAAGACUUAAAUUUUUAAAUAAGAAGAGAAGACCCCGGUGAGCUUGAUAAAAUUAGACAAUAUAAAGUUUAAUUAAAGUUUGGUUGGGGUAACAGAAAGGGAAAAGAAUUCCUUUCAAGAAUAUAAAGAUCCCGUCUGACGGAAUUAAGCAAAAGCUACCACGGGGAUAACAGCGUAAUCCCUUUUUAGAGACCAAAUUAAGGAAGGGGCGUGCGACAUCGAUGUUGGAUUAAAGGUUCUCCACGGUGCAGAAGCUGUGGUGGAGAGACUGUUCGUCUUUUAAAUCUUU